rnacentral:rRNA from 1 species
CCCAGACUCCUACGGGAGGCAGCAGUGGGGAAUAUUGCACAAUGGGGGGAACCCUGAUGCAGCGACGCCGCGUGGGUGAAGGGGCACCUCGGUGCGUAAAGCCCUAUCGGCAGGGGAGAAACAGACGGUACCUGACUAAGAAGCCCCGGCUAACUACGUGCCAGCAGCCGCGGUAAUAAGUAGGGGGCAAGCGUUAUACGGAUUGACUGGGUGUAAAGGGAGCGUAGACGGCGACGCAAGUCUGGAGUGAAAGCCCGGGGCCCAACCCCGGGACUGCUCUGGAAACUGCGGCGCUGGAGUACGGGAGGGGUAGGCGGAAUUCCUGGUGUAGCGGUGAAAUGCGUAGAUAUUAGGAGGAACACCAGUGGCGAAGGCGGCUUACUGGACUGUAACUGACGUUGAGGCUCGAAAGCGUGGGGAGCAAACAGGAUUAGAUACCCUGGUAAUA